rnacentral:rRNA from 1 species
UACGGAGGGUGCAAACGUUGUCCGGAAUCACUGGGCGUAAAGAGCAUGUAGGUGGCUUGGUAAGUGGGCGAUUAAAGACCGAGGCUUAACCUCGGGACUGUUGCCCAUACUGCCUUGCUUGAGGAUACCAGGGGCAAGCGGAACUUUGGGUGUAGGGGUGAAAUCCGUAGAUAUCCAAAGGAACACCAAUGGCGAAGGCAGCUUGCUAGGGUAUUUCUGACACUGAGAUGCGAAAGCGUGGGGGAGCGAACAGG